rnacentral:rRNA from 1 species
CGACGACGCUGGCGGCGUGCCUCAAACAUGCAAGUCGAGCGAGGCUAUGAGUUACCGCAAGGUAAGGCAUAGCCUAGCGGCGAACGGGUGAGUAACACGUGGGUAACCUACCUGGAAGACAGGGAUAACGAUUCGAAAGGGUCGCUAAUACCUGAUAAUAUCCAUCUGCCGGAUGGCGGAGGGAAGAAAGGGGAAACCCGCUUUCAGAUGGGCCCGCGUCCCAUCAGCUAGUUGGUAAGGUAAAGGCUUACCAAGGCGACGACGGGUAGCCGGUCUGAGAGGAUGUACGGCCACACUGGGACUGAGAUACGGCCCAGACUCCUACGGGAGGCAGCAGUUGGGAAUCUUAGGCAAUGGACGAAAGUCUGACCUAGCGACGCCGCGUGAGGGAAGAAGGCCUUCGGGUUGUAAACCUCUGUCAUGGGGGAAGAAGGAAGUGACGGUACCCCAAGAGGAAGCCCCUGCUAACUACGUG